rnacentral:rRNA from 1 species
GAUGAACGCUGACAGCAUGCUUAACACAUGCAAGUCAACUUGAACUUCGGUUUGGGUGGCGGACGGGUGAGUAACGCGUACAGAACUUGCCUCCCAGAUAGGGACACCAUUUGGAAACGAAUGAUAUUACCUGAUCUUAUGAUUAUAUGGCAUCGUAUAAUUAUGAAAGCUAUAUGCGCUGUGAGAGAGCUUUGCGUCCCAUUAGCUAGUUGGAGAGGUAACGGCUCACCAAGGCGAUGAUGAGUAGCCGGCCUGAGAGGGUGAUCGGCCACAAGGGGACUGAGACACGGCCCGUACGCCUACGGGAGGCAGCGGUGGAGAAUAUUGGACAAUGGACCAAGAGUCUGAUCCAGCAAUUCGGUUUGCACAAUUAAGUUUUUCGGAAUGUAAAGAGCUGUCAGUUAGGAAGAAAAAAAUGACGGUACCAACAGAAGAAGUGACGGCUAAAUACGUG